rnacentral:ncRNA from 1 species
AUCUUCGGGGCGAGGUGCAAUUCCUCACUGGCGGUAAAUCAGAAAAAACUGAUGAGUCCGCGACCUGCCGACGGCAGCUGAACCGGUGCAAACCCGGUACCAACAGUAAAGUCUGGAUGAAAGAAGAU